rnacentral:rRNA from 1 species
GACGAACGCUGGCGGCGUGCUUAACACAUGCAAGUCGAACGGUACGGCCCUUCGGGGUACACGAGUGGCGAACGGGGGAGUAACACGUGGGUGAAGUGCCCUGCACUUUGGGAUCAGCCUGGGAAACUGGGCCUAAUACCGGAUAGGACCAUGCGCGUCACGGUGUGCGCUGGAAAGCUCUUGCGGUGUGGGAUGGGCGCGCGGCCUAUCAGCUUGUUGGUGGGGUAAUGGCCUACCCAGGCGACGACGGGUAGCCGGCCUGAGAGGGUGACCGGCCACACUGGGACUGAGAUACGGCCCAGACUCCUACGGGAGGCAGCAGUGGGGAAUAUUGCACAAGGGGCGCAAGCCUGAUGCAGCGACGCCGCGUGAAGGAUGACGGCCUUCGGGUUGUAAACCUCUUUCAGUAGGGACGAAGCGCAAGUGACGGUACCUACAGAAGAAGGACCGGCCAACUACGUGCCAGCCGCCGCAGUAA